GGUUGCUUCCGCCCUCCUCUUUCACAGAAUAAAGAAGCUAGUCUCGUUUUGCAUCUUAUGGAAACCACAAGUUCUUUCAGAAACAAAACUUUCUAGAGACCACUCCAUUUGUCCUGCUGUCCUGGCAGUACAUAUAUAAGUGAUAAUCCACACAAAGAAUGGAAAGCCAUCCAUAAAUAAAGAAAAGGCCAUCUUCUAUCUACCUCUAGAAGCAUAGCUGUAGCUGGCUUGAGUAGCCAUCAUCAUCAUCAUCCCAAAGAAGAAGAGGAGGAAGAAGAAGAUGCAAGACUGGGGUCCGGUGCUCAUCUCCUUCAUGCUCUUCAUCCUUCUAUCCCCGGGGCUCCUCUUCCAGAUCCCCGGCAAAUCACGGACGAUCGAGUGCGGCAAAUUCCACACGAGCGUAGUCUCCAUCCUCAUCCACACCAUCAUCUUCUGCGCGCUCAAUGCCUUCUUCCUCAUUGUCGUUGGCGUCCGCAUCGAGUUCGGCUCCUCAUCAUGAGUAGUAGAGUACCCCGCUUCACCCUGUUCUACCUGUUUAUUUUUCUCUUUCUCUGUCUCGUUUGGUUCUUGCUGCUUGUUAAUUAGUUUGCCUGUGCUCACUGGGAUAUGUUACAUGGUAAAAUACCCGCAUAUGUUACAUGGUGGAAUCAUGUGAGUUUUGUAUUAUUGAGAUUUAACAACAGCGUUACUGUAUAUGUCAGGGAUCAUACUUUUUCGUUAAUGGAUUUUUUUAUUAGUGUAUCAAGCUGUUACAAAUAGAUAAAUUGGGCUAGACAUCAAAGUUAUACGGCAAAGAAUUACUUCCUUUGUUGCAUGUAGUGAAUAAUCACUUUAUUUUGUUGUCUAUCUCUUUGUUAUGUUGCUAUUAUGCGGAGACCGGAAGUUUUAUGCUCUUUUCGAUUUUUCUUUCUUCUUAUGUCACUGUUGACAUAUGCAUUGUGAUGGACAUGGAAAUGGAACAAGAAAUCCAAAACAUCAUGUAUACAGUACAAGCAAGUUUUGACCAUCCAUCCUAUAAGCAGAGCAGGAGCAGUUAGGUUUCGAAACGCAUCCAAACAAUAUAUAAUUAUGUUAUUCUGUUUACAGACACAAUUAAUUAUGUUAGAAGAGUUAUAUUAAUUGCUGUCGCUGAUAUGAUAACAACUCAAUUUAGUCGCAAGAAUGGCUCAAAGUAAGAAAUCUAAAGAUCAUCCUAACAGAAGUUUGCGUAUUACAGGAAAUGUGCAUACAUAACAAUGUGGAGGUCUGUCCAUAUCAAGCAGCAACACAAGUCAAAUAUAAACACUUGAAAUCACGCAGCAAUAAAAAAGGACGUACAUUGAUUUGGGCUGGAAACUUUAUCCAGCUUAAUUGGUUCUCACAUAUAUUCGCUGGAGUAUAUGUGUCGUUGGAGUAUAUAUGGUUGCUGCAAAUUCAGGCAUCAAAUCAUUCAAAUAUUUGUGGUAGAGAAAACAGGUCCAGGCGGGGUCAUGUCCUUGACCAGCACAAAAUUUGUUUCUUUUAGGUGUUGUGUGUCAUCUACAUAAUUUGUUUUCUUUAUCCUCUACCACUAUCUUUUUUUCCAAUGGAAAGCGAAGCAUGGAGCUUGAGGUAGAAUAUGCUGGGAUUGGUUCAGGAUUUGGCAAUCAUCUUCAUACCUAAGAAAUGUUUCCAUUGAUUAAAUCAAUGUGGAACAAUUCAGAAAGGUCUUUAUCUCUUUGUGAGGAAAAAAAAUGGAGGGUGACAGGCAUCAUGACUCGCUCUUGUCGGAGCCCCCCUCCCCCUUAUCUAUUGGCCGGAUCCUUGGUGUGCACCUGGAACUUUACGAUGUCAUGGCCAGGCUGGAAUGACGUUGACUUUGUGCAAUUGGUGAAGAUUAUUUAGUCUUUGUUGACCUUGGUCCUCAUGUCAGCAAUCUCCUUCUUUGCUAAGGCCAUUGCCUCGGCCUCGACCGCUAGAACCAACGUGGUCUUCUGAGUCUUAUGAGAUCGCUCAAUGUUCCCCAAGAUGAUGACGACAUUCGGGCCUGACAUCUUGAGCUUCUUGUAAGCAUAAUGUGUGACGAUGCCAAAGCGCGCGAACGCGGUCUGACACGAGGAGGGAGUGAUAACCACACUUGAAAGGGACUACGUCAAAGCUUAGAGGAUCCAAACAGUAGACGUAUGAGGUACCGAACACCCCGUCUGGUGUGACCCUUCUAGUGCGCCUCAUGCCCGUGAUAUAUAAUACCCUUGAACUUGGUUUUCACCAGCUCGAUACAUGACUUGUCGAAGUGCAUCUUUCUCAGUGUAUCGACGUAGCUGAGGUUCAAGCUCGAUGAGGUGGAAACUGUUGAAUAUCGGGUCCAAGACAAGUGCGGGCAAACCGCCAUGGUGGACGAUAGUCUGGUGGUCAUGACAAAUACAUGUGAUCAGGAUUUUCAACCAAGGAUUGUAUGUUGGCUCAAAGGACUCCACGGAAUAUACCUCGUGGACAGCACGCUUUCGAUCUUUCUUGGAGGUGUGAGAUGGAUAAAUCUUAUUUACAUCCUUUGUUUGUAGUGGGUACUGCUUCUGCCUGCCGUUCCCCUUUACCGGGUUGUAGCAUGUCCUUAUCGUUGUUGUUACAA